CGGUGAGAAAUAGAAAUAAAUAGACAUAAAUAGGCAACGUAAAGUAAUAUCAGCUAGCGUUAGGUAGCCUAACCUGAACCAUGCCAACGGCACAAUGUUUAGCUAGCCAGCUCGUGACUUUGCCUGGAACGCUACCAAGUCGUGAGUUGUGACUUGAAGUUGUAACUUACGGGCUAAAAAUUGUGUCUGGAAUUCAGCAUAAUUGUG